CCUACGGGAGGCAGCAGUGAGGAAUAUUGGUCAAUGGGCGGGAGCCUGAACCAGCCAAGUCGCGUGAGGGAAGACGGUCCUAUGGAUUGUAAACCUCUUUAGGCGGGGAGCAAUGCCCGGCACGCGUGCCCGGAGGGAGAGUACCCGCAGAAUCAGCCUCGGCUAACUCCGUGCCAGCCGCCGCCGUAAUACGGAGGGUGCAAGCGUUAUCCGGAUUUACUGGGUGAAACGGGGGCGGCGACGGCAGCGCAAGCCAGGAGUGAAAGCCCGGGGCCCAACCCCGGGACUGCUCUUGGAACGGGGCGGCUGGAGUGCAGGAGGGGCAGGCGGAAUUCCUGGUGUAGCGGUGAAAUGCGUAGAUAUCAGGAGGAACACCGGUGGCGAAGGCGGCCUGCUGGACUGCGACUGACGUUGAGGCCCGAAAGCGUGGGGAGCAAACAGGAUUAGAUACCCGGGUAGUC
rnacentral:rRNA from 1 species